rnacentral:rRNA from 1 species
GACGAACGCUGGCGGCGUGCCUAAUACAUGCAAGUUGAGCGCUGAAGGUUGGUAUUUGUACCAACUGGAUGAGCAGCGAACGGGUGAGUAACGCGUGGGGAAUCUGCCUUUGAGCGGGGGACAACAUUUGGAAACGAAUGCUAAUACCGCAUAAAAACUUUAAACAUAAGUUUUAAGUUUGAAAGAUGCAAUUGCAUCACUCAAAGAUGAUCCCGCGUUGUAUUAGCUAGUUGGUGAGGUAAAGGCUCACCAAGGCGAUGAUACAUAGCCGACCUGAGAGGGUGAUCGGCCACAUUGGGACUGAGACACGGCCCAAACUCCUACGGGAGGCAGCAGUAGGGAAUCUUCGGCAAUGGACGAAAGUCUGACCGAGCAACGCCGCGUGAGUGAAGAAGGUUUUCGGAUCGUAAAACUCUGUUGGUAGAGAAGAACGUUGGUGAGAGUGGAAAGCUCAUCAAGUGACGGUAACUACCCAGAAAGGGACGGCUAACUACGUG